rnacentral:rRNA from 1 species
GAUGAACGCUAGCUACAGGCUUAACACAUGCAAGUCGAGGGGUAGCAGGGUAGCAAUACCGCUGACGACCGGCGCACGGGUGAGUAACACGUAUCCAACCUUCCCAUAACUCGGGGAUAGCCUUUCGAAAGAAAGAUUAAUACCCGAUAGUACUUUUUCAAGGCAUCUUGAGAAAGUUACAGAUUUAUUGGUUAUGGAUGGGGAUGCGUUCCAUUAGAUAGUUGGUGAGGUAACGGCUCACCAAGUCGUCGAUGGAUAGGGGUUCUGAGAGGAAGGUCGCCCACAUUGGUACUGAGACACGGACCAAACUCCUAGGGGAGGCAGCAGUGAGGAAUAUUGGUCAAUGGGCGAGAGCCUGUACCAGCCAAGUAGCGUGAAGGAUGAAGGUCCUAUGGAUUGUAAACUUCUUUUAUAGUAGAAUAAAGUGAACCACGUGUGGUUUUUUGUAUGUAUACUAUGAAUAAGGAUCGGCUAACUCCGUGCCAGCCGCCGCCGUAA